CUGCGACCUGCGCGCGCAUGCCGGCUAUCAGGGUAGGGUGUGCUGCGUGUGUGCCCUUCCUUUUGAGGCCUCUCUUGCCAAGCAGUUACGUCAGGCCAUCGGAGAGUGUUGGUGAUGGUUUACUUUAUUAAGUGCGUAGCUGUGGACUAUCAGGACAAGAUGAUGACUGAACUAGAGAAGAGUGACUAUCGCCCAGAGAUCCUGGACUUGGAGGAGAUGCCGGAAGUGAUGAGACUGAGUCUCCCCUUUGGGGAGUGAGUGCAUUUUCAUUUGUAUGAAAAGAUGACAUACCAUAGGAUGUCUCACCUGGACAUUUUCCUAAGAAUGUCCUAGGACUGCAUUCAUUGAGGCAUCAAACACAAAUCUCCCAUUUCAAGAUGGAUUUCCCUUAAGAAACUAGUCCUUGGCUUUCUUUUUACAAACUGGGAUUCUGUGAGUAUAAUUCUAAUUCUUUUAGAAUAUUUGCAUUUUUUUAAUACAAAUUUUGGGGACAAUAGCUACAGAUUCCGUAAGAAGACAUACCCCUAGUCUCUAGAACAAUGCUUGCUAUACUCAAAUUACUGAAUAGAUAAAUGAAUAGCUGGAGUAAAUGAAUUAAUGAACAGAUGAAAAGAACUUGGGCUCUGGAGUCAAAUAAACCUGGAUACAAACUCCUGUUCCACAACUUCAUGUCUGACCCGAGGAAACAUACUGAAUCUCUUGGGCCUCUAUCUAUUGUAAAGCCAGGAUAAUGAUAUCCACCUCACAAAGAUAUUAUAAAUAUGUUGAUAUUUGCAUCUUUACAAUUGGACUGACAGGCCUUUUCAUCUGUCUGCUUUUUAUUGCUUUACUGAGGCUUCAAUAAGGUCAUUGCCACCACAUGUCCCUGUUGUUACUGUUCCCCGUCUAGCCAUGGCUUGUCUUUCCUAUUUCUGUUAAUUAUUUCUCUGAUUUAGAACAAAAAACUAGUUAGCUAGAUUGCUAGUAAAGUAGGUAAAACCAAGAUUGUUAGAUAAAGCAGGAGUAAGUAGGCUCUGUGUGAAGGGUUGAUGGAUUUUGUUUUGAGUAAAUUUCAUAAUUUUUUGUAGAUAGUUAACGUAACAUUUAAUUUGCUGCUCAGAUGUUUUUGGCUUUCUCUUCAGUUUUAACCUGUGUUUUGACUAAAGUUGCUGCAAGAGUGACUUUAAGAUUCAUAAGUGAUUAUUGAAAUAUUUUAAUACUUGAAGACAAUGCCCAACAGAUUCUAAUGACUAUAGCUUGAUGAACAAAUUAGAAAUCAAAAGUUCCAGAAAUCAAGAACAUCAGAUUAGGCCAGCUAUUUGCUCAAGGAAAAAUAUUUUUAAUUUAAUCUCUCUCAGGAAGAUUCCCAUUUAGUUUUAGGUAAAACAUGAUUAGCAAGGGAAUUAAAUUAAUCAACAUUUCCGAUCACAAAACUCUAAGGAUAGCAAAGACAUCCAUGAACACAGAUUUUUUACUGACUUCACAAUUAGAAAUUAUAUGAUUAGUUUUUCCAUCUGUGUCUUUUCAUAAAUAGUAAAAAAAAAUAAGUUUGGAGUUACAUUUAACAAAGGAUGAACAAUUGAAAUAAGGAAAAAUGAGUAACAAAGAAUUCCCUGCCCUCUAUGUGAAGGGCAGAACAUUG